CCAGAGGGCCGGGCGACCGCGGGCGCCGGAGUUGAUCCGGGGCACGAGGAAAGUCCGGGCUCCACGGAACAACGGUGCCGGGUAACGCCCGGCGGGUCGCCGCGAGGCGGCUCAGGGACAGUGCCACAGAAAGCAUACCGCCCGUUCUCGAGCGGGUAAGGGCGAAAGGGUGCGGCAAGAGCGCACCGCGCUUCCGGCAACGGCAAGCGGCACGGUAAACCCCACCGGGUGCAAGACCGAAUAGGGGCGACGAGGGAUGCACAAUCCCGGGGCUGUUCCGGCCCGUCGCCCGGGUUGGUUGCUUGAGCCCCUCCGCAAGGACGGGCCUAGAGGAAUGGUCGCCCAUCCGCCUUCGCGGGCGGUGGACAGAACCCGGCUUACAGGCCCUCUGGCGCA
rnacentral:RNase_P_RNA from 1 species